GACAGAGGUCCCAAGCGUUGUUCGGAUUCACUGGGCGUAAAGGGUGCGUAGGCGGUCGGGCAAGUCUGAUGUGAAAUCUCGGAGCUCAACUCCGAAACUGCAUUGGAUACUGCUUGGCUGGAGGUUGGGAGGGGGGACUGGAAUUCUCGGUGUAGCAGUGAAAUGCGUAGAUAUCGAGAGGAACACCAGUGGCGAAGGCGAGUCCCUGGACCAAUCCUGACGCUGAGGCACGAAAGCCAGGGGAGCAAACGGG
rnacentral:rRNA from 1 species